CAACGAUCUGGGCACUGUCUCAGCGAGAGACUCGGUGCAAUUAUAGUACCUGUGAAGAUGCAGGUUACCCGCGACAGGACGGAAAGCCCCCGUGGAGCUUUACUGCAACCUGAUAUGGAAUGUUUGUACCGCUUGUACAGGAUAGGUAGGAGCCGAAGAGACGUGUGCGCUAGCAUACGAGGAGGCAAUGGUGGGAUACU
rnacentral:rRNA from 1 species